rnacentral:rRNA from 1 species
UGGGGAAUUUUGGACAAUGGGCGAAAGCCUGAUCCAGCAAUGCCGCGUGUGUGAAGAAGGCCUUCGGGUUGUAAAGCACUUUUGUCCGGAAAGAAAUCCUUGGCUCUAAUACAGUCGGGGGAUGACGGUACCGGAAGAAUAAGCACCGGCUAACUACGUGCCAGCAGCCGCGGUAAUACGUAGGGUGCAAGCGUUAAUCGGAAUUACUGGGCGUAAAGCGUGCGCAGGCGGUUUGCUAAGACCGAUGUGAAAUCCCCGGGCUCAACCUGGGAACUGCAUUGGUGACUGGCAGGCUAGAGUAUGGCAGAGGGGGGUAGAAUUCCACGUGUAGCAGUGAAAUGCGUAGAGAUGUGGAGGAAUACCGAUGGCGAAGGCAGCCCCCUGGGCCAAUACUGACGCUCAUGCACGAAAGCGUGGGGAGCAAACAGGAUUAGAUACCCUGGUAGUCCACGCCCUAAACGAUGUCAACUAGUUGUUGGGGAUUCAUUUCCUUAGUAACGUAGCUAACGCGUGAAGUUGACCGUCUGGGGAGUACGGUCGCAAGAUUAAAACUCAAAGGAAUUGACGGGGUCAU